UAUAUAUAUAUAUAUAUAUACACAUAUAUAUAUAUGUACGGAAAAGUAAAUAAAUUGCAAAAAAAUGUAAUUUAACAAAAUAAUGACGGAGAAAUGUUUACGAAGUAGCGUGUAUUCCGGACGUAUCUUUAAAUAAAAUUCGUCGAAAGAAUUAAAAUACGAGAUCUUGUUGACGAAAUGUGGAUAAAAUUGAAAUUUCUUGGUUUGCUGCAAAAAUAUUAAUUGGUUUUGAAAAAUAUUUUUUCUCUUUAUUUUUAUUUUUAUUUUUUUUGUUGUUGUUUUUUUUUUUUUUUUUUUUUUUUUUUUUAGAGUGAACGAACGGGGAAGCCGAUCUUUUCGAUUAAAUCACAAAGUAUAUUUGACGAAUAUCAAACGAAAAUCAUGCAUCUCCGAAAAUUCGUUCGUAGGAAAUAUUGAAAAAAUAUACUAUAUAAAAAUAGACAGACAGAUAAUAGAAAAAGGGAAAAUAAAAUCAAAUAUAUUUCUAAUGAAAUCCUUUUCAAAAAAAUCUCUUCUCUUUAACUCGACGGCUUUCAAGUUCGGUUGCUCUUUGUUUUAUUUGUUAACUCGAGAAUAACUUUCGGGCACGAGAUCACGUAUAUAGAUUAGUGUCAUCGUAAUCGUAUUAAAGAAAUAAUAAAGAAAUAAAGAUAAAAAAAAAAGAAAGAAAAAGAAGGAGGCGAAAACUUAACAUAGCCAAAUUGGAAUCCAGUUUCAAUUCAGAGUAAAAAUAAAAAAAAAAAAAAAAAAAAAGAAGAAACUAAACUUUGAAACUAAAACCUCGAAAUAUGCGAAGAGAUAAUGAAACAAAGAAAAAAAGAAAAGAAAAUAAAGGGAAAAGAAAAGAUAAGUGGAUUUAGAGAAGUUGUAUGUUGGAAAACGAAGAAUAAAAAAAAUGUGGUAUGAAAAGGUCUUAGAAAAGUGUCCAAAGACGAAAGGAUAAAAAGUAUUUCAGGAUAAUAAUAACGUACCAAUUAAGAAAGAGUUAAACGCUUAUUAAUUGAGGAUAGGAAAUGUGAGAAAAAGAAUGGAAAUAUCAAGAGAGAGAGAGAGAGAAAGGGAAAGGAUGAAAACAGAGCUAGUAAAAUCAAGAGAUAUUUAACUAACCGUAAUAUUAUCUUAAAUAUUACGAGACACAGAUACACAGAUACAUAAAAGCACAAAACAGCUGUUAGGCUGUAACCUUGUGCGUAAGAAGCACGUGUCAUUUAGAAUUGUUUUGAUUUUUUCUCGAGCUAAACGAAGAAGCAAACGAAAAAUAAUAAACAAGAAAUAACAAAAUAGUAAAAAGGAAGGAGGAUUGAAAGGUAAAAGAGAAAAAUAGAAAAGAACAAAAAAAAAAGAAAUAUAGAAGAAAUUGUAAGGAAAAUUUAGUGUCACAGGAUUCGAGGUAAAGGAUCAAAGUUGGAUGAUGUAAGAGAAUUUCCUACCUACUUAUCGAUUAAAAAUCCAUUGGUUAGAAAGAGAUUACUACUUAUCGAUUAGCUAAAAUACAUUGUAAGGGCAGGCAUAUAGUACUCAUAUAGUCUAUUUGUUAAUGUUUCAGAUAUUUUAUUAAAUGUUGAUAUAAUGUACUAUGACAUUCCUUGUUUGUGCCGGAAUCCCCGCAUAUUGAUAGUCUUUAAAAAAAAGUGAGCGCUCUCCACCCAUGUCAGCAGAUAUUUAAACGUUUCAAUCGAUCGUUCCCUACAUGAUGCCUUCGUACAAUCGAAUCGGCAAUCCGCGCCUCAAUAUAAAGGAAAAAAUGAUGCCGAGAAAAGCGAAGUGUGACGGAGGGAGGGUGACAAUGAUCGGACGAGGAAAAAUGGGGAAAACUGUUAAAAUGGUCUUUGUGGGAAAUAUAACCUACACAUAUAUACAUAUAUUUUGUUACUAAACUCUGCUUUCGCACUUGUCGAGACGAAAAAAAUGGUAAGAACUUGUAAAAUUGUAUUCAUCGAAAGCUUGUCUCCAAUAAUUCGCGUAAAUAUUUUCUAACGCGUUAAGAAAAACAUUAAUGGAAAUAAUUCCAAAAGCAUUUCACUGAAUUACAAUAAUUCAUAAAUAUUAACAUACAUAUAUGAGAGUCAAGAGUCAAAAAAUAUUAUUUUUCCUUUUCUGUUUGUUUGUUUGUUUGUUUGUCUGUCUGUCUGUCUGUCUGUCUUGUCUUGUUUUUUCUCCCUUCUUUCUUUUUCUCCUUUUUCCUUCUUUAAUUUUGCGAACGCUUGUGAAAGAGAAAUGUGAAAGGAAAUUUCAACAGACGCUGGUGGCAGGUGAUUUAUAAAAUAUACUGUAUACAGAGAAAACGGGUGUAAUACGUAAAGACUGCGAAAAGUUUGGGUGAUAAGGUGAGGGAGAGGUAAAAACGGAAGGAUAUUUUAUUCGAUACUUAUUAUUAGAUGUGAAUAAUUUCAAAAAAAAAAAACAUUUAAAUGUAUAUAAAUUGGCAUAUCAUCGCGGAGGGAGAGUAAGAAGUGAAAAAAAAAAAAGAAAAGAAAAAGGAAGAAUAAAAGAAAAACAAAAGAAGCAAAAGAUAGGGAUAGAGAAGGAAAGAGCAAGAGAGAGAUAGAUAGAGAGAGGGAGAGAGAGAAAGAGAGAGAGAGAUAAAAAAAGAGAGAGAAAGACAAAACGAUUGGGAAGACUACGGAAACUGCCUUCCCUCCGAUAAAAGAAGAAUGUAUUAAAGAAAAAGACACGUAAAACUAUUAUAUCUCACUUCAUCAAUGAAAUGCUCUGCUGGUUUGGAGCUGUAGUCAUAUCGUUAGCGAAUAAGUCUGUAUGUGACGAUGUUAAUUACUGUAAUAUAAAGGGACAAGAUUAAAAAUGAAAAACCUAAAAAAAAAAAAAAUUACCAAAAAAAAAAAAUAAAACCAAACCAUGAAUACUACGUAGGAGCAUCUUAUAUGAAAAAAAUUAAAAAAAAGAUAACGAUAUACUGUUUGUCUAGUAUUACUGGGCAUGCUUUAAAUCGAAUUGUUUUUAAUCAAACCGAGAAUCUGUUUCCAACCCUCUUCGGUGAGCUCUUAUAAUACGAGAGACUUACUCUCUCCGUUUGUGUUUUUUUGUAAAAAGGGAGAAUCGCUUUUACCCGCGGGAGAAGGAAAGGAAGGUCAUAGCAAAAAAAAAAAAAACA